UGGGCGAAAGCCUGAUCCAGCAAUGCCGCGUGGGCGAAGAAGGUCUUCGGAUUGUAAAGCCCUUUCGACGGGGACGAUGAUGACGGUACCCGUAGAAGAAGCCCCGGCUAACUUCGUGCCAGCAGCCGCGGUAAUACGAAGGGGGCUAGCGUUGCUCGGAUUGACUGGGCGUAAAGGGCGCGUAGGCGGAUAGUACAGUCAGACGUGAAAUUCCUGGGCUCAACCUGGGGGCUGUGUUUGAUACGUAUUGUCUGGAGUUCGGAAGAGGGUCGUGGAAUUCCCAGUGUAGAGGUGAAAUUCGUAGAUAUUGGGAAGAACACGGGUGGCGAAGGCGGCGACCUGGUCCGAUACUGACGCUGAGGCGCGAAAGCGUGGGGAGCAAACAGGAUUAGAUACCCUGGUAGUCCACGCCGUAAACGAUGUGCGCUGGAUGUUGGGUGACCUAGUCACUCAGUGUCGUAGCUAACGCGAUAAGCGCACCGCCUGGGGAGUA
rnacentral:rRNA from 1 species